rnacentral:rRNA from 1 species
CCCGCGGCGCAUUAGCUAGUUGGUAAGGUAACGGCUUACCAAGGCAACGAUGCGUAGCCGACCUGAGAGGGUGAUCGGCCACAUUGGAACUGAGACACGGUCCAGACUCCUACGGGAGGCAGCAGUGGGGAAUAUUGCGCAAUGGGGGAAACCCUGACGCAGCAACGCCGCGUGGGUGAUGAAGGUCUUCGGAUUGUAAAGCCCUGUUUUCUAGGACGAUAAUGACGGUACUAGAGGAGGAAGCCACGGCUAACUACGUGCCAGCAGCCGCGGUAAUACGUAGGUGGCGAGCGUUGUCCGGAUUUACUGGGCGUAAAGGGUGCGUAGGCGGAUGUUUAAGUGGGAUGUGAAAUCCCCGGGCUUAACCUGGGGGCUGCAUUCCAAACUGGAUAUCUAGAGUGCAGGAGAGGAAAGCGGAAUUCCUAGUGUAGCGGUGAAAUGCGUAGAGAUUAGGAAGAACACCAGUGGCGAAGGCGGCUUUCUGGACUGUAACUGACGCUGAGGCACGAAAGCGUGGGUAGCAAACAGGAUUAGAUACCCUGGUAGUCCACGCCGUAAACGAUGGAUACUAGGUGUAGGGGGUAUCAACUCCCCCUGUGCCGCAGUUAACACAAUAAGUAUCCCGCCUGGGGAGUACGGUCGCAAGAUUAAAACUCAAAGGAAUUGACGGGGGCCCGCACAAGCAGCGGAGCAUGUGGUUUAAUUCGAAGCAACGCGAAGAACCUUACCUGGACUUGACAUCCCUUGCAUAGCCUAGAGAUAGGUGAAGCCCUUCGGGGCAAGGAGACAGGUGGUGCAUGGUUGUCGUCAGCUCGUGUCGUGAGAUGUUAGGUUAAGUCCUGCAACGAGCGCAACCCUUGUUAUUAGUUGCUACCAUUAAGUUGAGCACUCUAAUGAGACUGCCUGGGUAACCAGGAGGAAGGUGGGGAUGACGUCAAAUCAUCAUGCCCCUUAUGUCCAGGGCUACACACGUGCUACAAUGGUAGGUACAAUAAGACGCAAGACCGUGAGGUGGAGCAAAACUUAUAAAACCUAUCUCAGUUCGGAUUGUAGGCUGCAACUCGCCUACAUGAAGCUGGAGUUGCUAGUAAUCGCGAAUCAGAAUGUCGCGGUGAAUACGUUCCCGGGCCUUGUACACACCGCCCGUCACACCAUGAGAGCUGGUAACACCCGAAGUCCGUGAGGUAACCGUAAGGA